GGCACCAGAGCAGCGUCGCUGCGGCGCGCAGGUGACGUCAGGAAAGCGGUGGGCGGAGGCCAUGGGGAGUAGCAGUGGCUGCCGCGAGGCUCCGGUAGCAGUGCCUGGGCCAGGCAGGGAAGGUUUGCAUCGUGUAAACUAACUAAGGGGGGCGAUGAAUGUUGAUUCUCCAUUGAGUCCAGCUUCCACCAACCCAUCCCACAUCUUUGAGGAUCCAUAUUCCCCCUUCUUUCUGCUCUGCUCCUUCCCUUUACCUUCCACUCCUCUGCAGCGCAGCAGGGAUGCUUGCAGUGGCACCGGAUCAGAGGGAAUAACUGCACCACUCCCCGGAUGACGUGAGCUGAAGCAGGCAAACACAGUGUCCUGCCAGCAGAGCUGUGUCUACACCAGGCCCUGUGUCCACACCUGGCCCUUUGUCGGAGCAGCUGGGUCAGCUGAGGGCUCCAGGAGGCCUUUGAGGACGUGGCGCUGUACUUCACCCAGAAGGAGUGGGAGCUGCUGGGAGAUGGAGACAAGGUGCUUUACUGGGACCAGAUGCUGAGGAAUUACCAAGCCCUUGUUUCUCUGGGUAAAGUUCUGUUUCUGUUACUCUCUGUGAGCUCAGAAAUGUUUCCUUUGUCUCCUGGUUCUUCUACAGUCUUCUCAUGAAGUUUGGGUCUCUGGUUUAAAUCUGUUUUCUCCUCUGUUCUGCCAUUGAUCAGAGAGACAUUGUUAGCUAUGUUAGUCUGAAGUCAAGUAGAUUUGCACCUUCUCUAGACUGGGGGUACUUGGCAAGGGCCCAGGAGGUAUGCGGCAUUGGCGUGGUGAAGAGGGGGCACUUCUGGUUUUGCUGCAGGGGGUCCCCCCCCCCAAACUCAUUGAUCAGCUGCUGGGGGACACCCCCUCCCCCACAGCUUGUCAACUGGCUGGGGGACUCCCUGCUCCUUGACUAGCCACCAGCCAUACACCAACCAAAAAAGGUUGAAAACCCCUGUUCUAGACUAACCAAAGUAGGGAGGUAGAUAGAGGCAAACCUCAUUAAUUCAAAACAGGACCAAAAAUUACCAACUUUGAAAUAAAUGGGCUUGAAAUAAAUUUACCCAUAGUAAUUUACAUAUAUCCAAAUUACUGUACAGGCAGUCCUCAACUUACAACAUUUCGACUUACAACAUUUUGCACUUACAACAUUUAUAAAUUGACACCCUGUUUCAACUUUCUGACAUCAGUUUUGACUUUA